rnacentral:rRNA from 1 species
UGAGGAAUAUUGGGCAAUGCCCGCAAGGGUGACCCAGCAACGCCGCGUGGAGGAUGAAUGUCGUAAGAUUGUAAACUCCUGUUAGAGGGGAAGAAUAGUACCGGUUGGACCGGUAUAUGACUGUACCCUCAGAGAAAGCCCCGGCUAACUACGUGCCAGCAGCCGCGGUAAUACGUAGGGGGCAAGCGUUGUCCGGAUUUACUGGGUGUAAAGGGCGCGCAGGCGGGAUAAAAAGUCAGUGGUGAAAUCCUACAGCUUAACUGUAGAACUGCCUUAGAUACUUUUAUUCUUGAGUUCGGGAGAGAGAGACGGAAUUCCAGGUGUAGUGGUGAAAUACGUAGAUAUCUGGAAGAACACCAGUUGCGAAGGCGGUCUCUUGGUCCGACACUGACGCUGAGGCGCGAAAGCGUGGGGAGCAAACA